rnacentral:rRNA from 1 species
GACGAACGCUGGCGGCGUGCCUAAUACAUGCAAGUAGAACGCUGAAGAGAGGAGCUUGCUCUUCUUGGAUGAGUUGCGAACGGGUGAGUAACGCGUAGGUAACCUGCCUGGUAGCGGGGGAUAACUAUUGGAAACGAUAGCUAAUACCGCAUAAAUGGAUUAUCGCAUGAUAAUCCAUUGAAAGGUGCAAAUGCAUCACUACCAGAUGGACCUGCGUUGUAUUAGCUAGUUGGUGGGGUAACGGCUCACCAAGGCGACGAUACAUAGCCGACCGGAGAGGGUGGUCGGCCACACUGGGACUGAGACACGGCCCAGACUCCUACGGGAGGCAGCAGUAGGGAAUCUUCGGCAAUGGACGGAAGUCUGACCGAGCAACGCCGCGUGAGGGAAGAAGGUUUUCGGAUCGUAAAGCUCUGUUGUAAGAGAAGAACGAGUGUGAGAGUGGAAAGUUCACACUGUGACGGUAUCUUACCAGAAAGGGACGGCUAACUACGUG